CUGUUUUGUAAACAGCAGGUUACGGGUUCGAUUCCUGUCGCCGGCU
rnacentral:tRNA from 1 species